AUUGAACGCUGGCGGCAGGCUUAACACAUGCAAGUCGAGCGGAGAUGAGGUGCUUGCACCUUAUCUUAGCGGCGGACGGGUGAGUAAUGCUUAGGAAUCUGCCUAUUAGUGGGGGACCACAUUCCGAAAGGAAUGCUAAUACCGCAUACGUCCUACGGGAGAAAGCAGGGGAUCUUCGGACCUUGCGCUAAUAGAUGAGCCUAAGUCGGAUUAGCUAGUUGGUGGGGUAAAGGCCUGCCAAGGCGACGAUCUGUAGCGGGUCUGAGAGGAUGAUCCGCCACACUGGGACUGAGACACGGCCCAGACUCCUACGGGAGGCAGCAGUGGGGAAUAUUGGACAAUGGGGGGAACCCUGAUCCAGCCAUGCCGCGUGUGUGAAGAAGGCCUUAUGGUUGUAAAGCACUUUAAGCGAGGAGGAGGCUACUGAGACUAAUACUCUUGGAUAGUGGACGUUACUCGCAGAAUAAGCACCGGCUAACUCUGUGCCAGCAGCCGCCGUAA
rnacentral:rRNA from 1 species